UUGGGUGCAACUGUAAGCCCCAUACCCUAACCCUAGAUAAGAAGAAGCUUGAUGGAGAGAGUUGAAUCAAACAGAGUAAGUUUGUCCGUAAAGAAAAUAUGGAAGAAGGUGUUGCAAGAAACAAAUCGAAGUUGUUGUUUCUAAUGACUCGAAAGACCAAAAAGAAGAAAAGGAAGAUCUACAUCCCAUACUGCUAUGUAGUUCUGAGUAUUGAAUUUUUAAUGCAUGUUGCUAACUGUUUGAUUCUCAGUCAAUUUGUGCAUUUCAUUAUUUGCUAAUUUCAAUUGAAAAAUAAUGUUAAUGUGAAUGUGUUGAUUCUGAAAAUGCUACUUACUAGUUUCCAGAUAGCUAUUUUAAAUUAAAAUGUGCUCAAGUCAUUUCUGGUAAACCCGAGUCUAUUUCAGUAAAAGUAUUGGGAUACAUUUGAUUGCAUGUUUUAGGUGAUGUUGGAUUAUAGAAAAGGGAUUGGACCAGUAAGAGAAUUUUAUAUGGCUGAUUAUUAUAGGAAACUACUUGUGUUUCCGUUCCUUUUUUUUUUUUGAAGACAACACUGGUUAGAAUGAACUUGUAAACGUCUUAUGUUUGGCAAAUUUUGGGAUUUUUGCUCUUGCCAAGUAUAUAUACGUUGGCUGUGUUGUUGUAGAAUGAAAUAGAAAUGAUAUGAUUCUUGAGUUACUAUAAAACUCUAGCUCACGGCUAGGUUAGUAUUUGUUGGUAAUAGAUUUCUACUAUUGGUUAAAUAGUGGUUGAUAUCUAGUAUUAAUAGAGGUUGAUACUGUAAUUAAGAAGUUCUGGUUAAUGAAAUAGAAAUGAUAUGUAGGUUAAAUAUUGGUUGAUAUCUACUGUUAAUAGAGAUUGAUUGUGUAAUUAAAAAGUUGUAGUUACAUUUAUUGUUGAGACUUGCAGUAAUUUCUGAGUUACUCUUGAACAAAGGACACCGAGGAACCCAAUGGAGUUCCAAGGUCGCGAAGCAGAUUUCCGUGGGUUCUACAAAACGUGCAGAAUUGCCCCUUGAUGCUUGGGCGCCUACUACCUUAGGGAAGUAGGUAGAACUUUGAAGUUAUGGUAGCUAGUGGUAUCUCAUGGAAAAAUUGACUUAGCUAAGAGAGCAAGUGCUGAAGGGAGAGUCUAACCUGAGUCCAUAGCAGAUAGAUGAGAUGGUUAUGAAUCAGAAACGUUUUGAUCUUAAAUGUCUCCGCAAGGUAGCUGGUGAUCACAUAUCUUUGUAUGAGCAGAAUGAUGCCCUCAUGUAAUGCAGUUGGAUUCUGAGCGGAAAGAGCAAAACAGGCUGCAAAGCGGAUACAAAGGCUCAAGAAGAUAGAGGCAAAGCUGAGAACGUCUAUAAAUGCUGCUCUUGAAAAGAUGGACAUGAUACAAUCCCUAGCGAUAAGGAGAGUGACACUGAAUUUGUGGAUGGGGAUGCGGGAUUCUGAUGCUGGUUCUUUGGGGAAGUCAAUUGGUUUCAAUGUUGAGCAGGAAGGCAAAGGCGAAGUCGCAAGCUCAGAAUGGACAUUCGAGGAGACUCUGAUGUCGAACAGAUUGAACAUUCCGACAACGGAUUUCUCUGCAAUACAUGAACGAUAUAAAUGGAAAUCACAUCAAUAUACACCCCACCAUACAAAUUCAAGACAUCUUGCAAGUAAACCUGACGCAUAAAGCGACACUGAGUGAAAGGAUCUUUUGUAACUUUAGGCUACUGAAAAGCAUCAGGUACUUUUCGAUCGCAAUUCAAGAGUAGAAGGGUUGGAAAAAUUUACCUCGACGCAGAGCCAAAAUGACUUAUGAACCAAAUCAGGAUGCUGUGGCUGUCUAAAAGCGAAAAAAAGAGUAUGGUUCAUAUGAGACAUCUUAUAUACCCAAUUGGUAAGCGAACAAGAACCUUUUAUAACACUACUAGCUCAGGUUAUUGUAGAUUCAACAUGGGCAAAGUCAAGUGGCGCUGGAAUUGCUCUAAACCUCAUUGCAGAUUUACUAAUUGUGUGAAUUGUGAUAGUAAAAGUAGAGGCCAAAUGUGAAUUUGAAGCAGAAGCAAUUGU